GCGGCGAGCGAAAAGAAAUCAGUUCAGCACUAAGCCAUUUUGUCUUUAUGGCAAAUAUGGGAUGCAGUGUAUGGAACAUCAAUAAUCUAGUAUGAGAAAUUAACGAUUUAAGUCCUUCUUAAAUGAGGCCAUUUACCCAUAGAGGGUGCCAGGCCCGUAUAACGUUAAUGAUUACUAGAAGAUGUUUCCAAAGAGUCGUGUUGCUUGAUAGUGCAGCACUAAGUGGGUGGUAAACUCCAUCUAAAACUAAAUAAAACCAUGAGACCGAUAGUAAACAAGUACCGUGAGGGAAAGUUGAAAAGAACUCUGAAUAGAGAGUUAAAUAGUACGUGAAACUGCUUAGAGGUUAAGCCCGAUGAACCUGAAUAUCCAUUAUGGAAAAUUCAAUAUUAAUAAAAUAAUAUAUAUCAUAUUAUAAAAGUAGUAUGCAAUUUUUCCAUAUAAGGACAUUGUAAUUUGUUAAUGUUAUAAAUAUUUAUCAAAAGAUCUUUUACUUAAGUUUAUUUAAAUUGUUUAUCUUCGGAUAUUCAACAUAAAAUAAAUGUAUUUGAUUAGAUAAAUCAUUGACAGAUAUAAUUAUAUAUUGUGCUCAAAUUUUUCGAAAUUUUACAAUAGUGAGUAGAUCUAUUGAUUUAUUUAUUUAUUGUAUGCGCUUUUAUGAUUAACAAUGCGAUAGAUUCAGGAUACCUUCGGGACCCGUCUUGAAACACGGACCAAGGAGUCUAACAUAUGUGCAAGUCAUUGGGUAUUUUUAAUAAAACCCAAUGGCAUAAUUAACUUAACUGUUAUUUAUAAUGGGAUUAAUUUAUAUUUUGUUAUGAUUUAUUUAUUCAAUCCCGGGGCGUUCUAUACAGUUAUGUAUAAUAAUAUUUAUAUUAUUUAUGCCUCUAACUAGAGCGUACCUUGAGCAUAUAUGCUGUGACCCGAAAGAUGGUGAACUAUACUUGAUCAGGUUGAAGUCAGGGGAAACCCUGAUGGAAGACCGAAACAGUUCUGACGUGCAAAUCGAUUGUCAGAAUUGAGUAUAGGGGCGAAAGACUAAUCGAACCAUCUAGUAGCUGGUUCCCUCCGAAGUUUCCCUCAGGAUAGC
rnacentral:rRNA from 1 species